AGCUUUGCACACUCGCAGUAUCGUAGCCAAUGAGGUUUAUCCGAGGCGUGAUUAUUGCUAAUUGAAAACUUUUCCCAAGAAAGACUACCCAGUAGGACUGAAGAAAAACUUCUCACCAAAAGAUGUCUCCAGAAGUAAUACAUUCAAGGAUAGAACCUUAAAUUUUCAUUCUUCCUUCUUGUUUCAAACUGACUUAAUGCAAAGGAAGUGUUGGUGUAAAUAAUAUCUGGAAACAUUGAGAUUCAGAUG
rnacentral:snRNA from 11 species